CAAAUGUAGUGAUCCAGAGGGGCACAUGCAUCCCAAUGUUUAUAGCAGCAAUGGCCACAGUCACUAAACUGUAAAGAACCAAGAUGCCCUUCAAUGGACGAAUGGAUAAAGAAGAUAUGGUCCAUAUAUACAAUGGAGUAUUAUGCCUCCAUCAGAAAGGAUGAAUUCUCAACUUUUGUAUCA